GGACUGUGCAUGUUUUUGCCCUAGAGGACCGUGCUACCUGGUGACAAGGAUCACAAUAUGGUGGAGAAUGCGGGCAAAGUAGCACAGUGAGGGUCUGUGGGUGUGCCAGUCAUCUGGUAGUCUGCUUGAGGACUUUUAUUUUGGCAGACCUGCUAAUCAAAUAAGUAGCACUGCACCUUUAAGACUGUUACCCGCUUGGUGCUAUAAUGGAGGACCUGCUGAGAGCUGUGGUACAGGCAACGGCUAAACAACAAGGCACAAACAGUUUCCUGGCUGCACAGGUUAAGAACCUGAGGGAUGCUCAGCAGGAGCAUAGAGCUGCCCUUACUGAGGUUUUGCAGAUUGCCCCCUGCAGGGAGCGUGGGGACAAGGGACC